GGUUAAGCGACUAAGCGUACACGGUGGAUGCCCUGGCAGUCAGAGGCGAUGAAGGACGUGCUAAUCUGCGAUAAGCGUCGGUAAGGUGAUAUGAACCGUUAUAACCGGCGAUUUCCGAAUGGGGAAACCCAGUGUGUUUCGACACACUAUCAUUAACUGAAUCCAUAGGUUAAUGAGGCGAACCGGGGGAACUGAAACAUCUAAGUACCCCGAGGAAAAGAAAUCAACCGAGAUUCCCCCAGUAGCGGCGAGCGAACGGGGAGGAGCCCAGAGCCUGAAUCAGU
rnacentral:rRNA from 1 species